rnacentral:rRNA from 1 species
UGGGGAAUAUUGCACAAUGGGCGCAAGCCUGAUGCAGCCAUGCCGCGUGUGUGAAGAAGGCCUUCGGGUUGUAAAGCACUUUCAGCGGGGAGGAAGGCGUUAAGGUUAAUAACCUUGGCGAUUGACGUUACCCGCAGAAGAAGCACCGGCUAACUCCGUGCCAGCAGCCGCGGUAAUACGGAGGGUGCAAGCGUUAAUCGGAAUUACUGGGCGUAAAGCGCACGCAGGCGGUCUGUCAAGUCGGAUGUGAAAUCCCCGGGCUCAACCUGGGAACUGCAUUCGAAACUGGCAGGCUAGAGUCUUGUAGAGGGGGGUAGAAUUCCAGGUGUAGCGGUGAAAUGCGUAGAGAUCUGGAGGAAUACCGGUGGCGAAGGCAGCCCCCUGGACAAAGACUGACGCUCAGGUGCGAAAGCGUGGGGAGCAAACAGG